ACGAACGCUGGCGGCGUGCUUAACACCUGCAAGUCGAACGGAAAGGCUCCAGCUUGCUGGAGUGCUCGAGUGGCGAACGGGUGAGUAACACGUGGGCAAUCUGCCCUGCACUCUGGGAUAAGCCUGGGAAACUGGGUCUAAUACCGGAUAGGACCUUUCUCCUCAUGGGGUUUGGUGGAAAGUUUUUCGGUGCAGGAUGAGCCCGCGGCCUAUCAGCUUGUUGGUGGGGUAAUGGCCUACCAAGGCGACGACGGGUAGCCGGCCUGAGAGGGUGAUCGGCCACAUUGGGACUGAGAUACGGCCCAGACUCCUACGGGAGGCAGCAGUGGGGAAUAUUGCACAAUGGGCGAAAGCCUGAUGCAGCGACGCCGCGUGAGGGAUGACGGCCUUCGGGUUGUAAACCUCUUUCAGUAGGGACGAAGCGCAAGUGACGGUACCUGCAGAAGAAGCACCGGCUAACUACGUG
rnacentral:rRNA from 1 species